GCUGGUAGCAAUGUAAAAUGUUACAGCUGCUAUGGAAAACAGUAUGGUAGUGCACUAUGCUAAUGUGUUGUCCACACUAAGUUUCGCAUCAAUAUGGUGACCUCCUAGGAGCAGGGCACCACCAGGUUUCCCUAGCAGGAGUGAACCAUCCCAGACUGAAAAUGGAGCAGGUCAAAAUUCCUGUGCUGAUCAGUAGUGGGAUUGCGCCUGUGAAUAGCAACUGCACUCCAGCCUGAGCAACAUAGUG
rnacentral:lncRNA from 10 species